GACGAACGCUGGCGGCGUGCCUAAUACAUGCAAGUCGAGCGGACGAAUCGAAAGCUUGCUUUUGAUUCGUUGGCGGCGGACGGGUGAGUAACACGUGGGCAACCUGCCCUGUAGACGGGGAUAACACCGAGAAAUCGGUGCUAAUACCGGAUAACACGAAAUGUCGCAUGACGUUUCGUUGAAAGACGGCGCAAGCUGUCGCUACAGGAUGGGCCCGCGGCGCAUUAGCUAGUUGGUGAGGUAACGGCUCACCAAGGCGACGAUGCGUAGCCGACCUGAGAGGGUGAUCGGCCACACUGGGACUGAGACACGGCCCAGACUCCUACGGGAGGCAGCAGUAAGGAAUCUUCCGCAAUGGACGAAAGUCUGACGGAGCAACGCCGCGUGAGCGAAGAAGGCCUUCGGGUCGUAAAGCUCUGUUGUUAGGGAAGAACAAGUAACGCAGUAACUGGCGUUACCGUGACGGUACCUAACGAGAAAGCCACGGCUAACUACGUG
rnacentral:rRNA from 1 species